CCUACGGGAGGCUGCAGUCGAGAAUCAUUCACAAUGGGGGAAACCCUGAUGGUGCGACGCCGCGUGGGGGAAUGAAGGUCUUCGGAUUGUAAACCCCUGUCAUGUGGGAGCAAAUUAAAAAGAUAGUACCACAAGAGGAAGAGACGGCUAACUCUGUGCCAGCAGCCGCGGUAAUACAGAGGUCUCAAGCGUUGUUCGUAAUCACUGGGCGUAAAGCGUGCGUAGGCUGUUUCGUAAGUCGUGUGUGAAAGGCGCGGGCUCAACCCGCGGACGGCACAUGAUACUGCGAGACGAGAGUAAGGGAGGGGGAACCGGAAUUCUCGGUGUAGCAGUGAAAUGCGUAGAUAUCGAGAGGAACACUCGUGGCGAAGGCGGGUUCCUGGACAUCAACUGACGCUGAGGCACGAAGGCCAGGGGAGCGAAAGGGAUUAGAUACCCGUGUAGUC
rnacentral:rRNA from 1 species